rnacentral:misc_RNA from 1 species
UCUCUCUCUCUCUCUCAAUUGAGUCAGCUGAGUACGGCACGGCAAGAGUAGCUUCAGUUCCAGUUAGGGGUCCUCCAGAUUUUUCAGGUGGCAAACUUUGCUCAGUUGUGGGCGUACGUUAAAAAUCAGCAAGCGUACGAUAAGAAUUCGUGUUGUGCGUAUCAAGCGGUUUUUGCAGAGGGUUGUUUUAGCUUGUCUCCCCUGGUGCAAUGGUUUUGUGCUCCACCAGUUUCAACCUCCUAGUGGAAUGAGCUUUUCGUUCUCUGCACCCAACAGCCACAUACCAUAAAAGGUUCAACCAAUG